rnacentral:rRNA from 1 species
GACGAACGCUGGCGGCGUGCUUAACACAUGCAAGUCGAACGGAAAGGCCCUGCUUGCAGGGUACUCGAGUGGCGAACGGGUGAGUAACACGUGGGUGAUCUGCCCUGCACUUCGGGAUAAGCCUGGGCAACUGGGUCUAAUACCGGAUAGGAGCCAUUUUUAGUGUGAUGGUUGGAAAGUUUUUUCGGUGUAGGAUGAGCUCGCGGCCUAUCAGCUUGUUGGUGGGGUAAUGGCCUACCAAGGCGGCGACGGGUAGCCGGACUGAGAGGGUGGACGGCCACAUUGGGACUGAGAGACGGCACAGACUCCUACGGGAGGGAGCAGGGGGGAAGAGUGAAGAAGGGGCGCAAGGCGGAUGCAGAGAGGCCGCGGGGGGGAUGACGGCCUUCGGGUUGUAAACGCAGUUCGCUAGGGACGAAGCUUUUUGUGACGGUACCUAGAUAAGAAGCACCGGCUAACUACGUG